CCGGAUAUCUUCAGAUGAAAAUUGCAUCAGAAUGGCAGGUUUUCAGUCAAAUCCAUAUAUGAUGCACUGGUUCAUAACGAGAUUCCGAUUGAUAAUAGGAAAUUGUGGAAGCUCAAAACCCUUCUAAAAAUAAAGAUAUUCCUCUGGUUUCUUAAUAGAGGGGUGAUCUUAACUAGGGAUAAUUUGGCUCGACGCAACUGACAAGGGUGCACAAAAUGUGUUUUCUGCCAUCAUGAUGAGUCCAUUAAACACUUGGUUUUUGAGUGCAAGUUUGCUCGGUCUGUAUGGGCCAUUGUUCAAAUAGCUUCGAAUCUUUAUCCCCCACGUAGUGCACGGAACAUGUUCGGCAAUUGGUUGAGGGGAAUAGAUAAACAAUUUUCAGCGCACAUUCUAGUGGGGGCGGCUGCCUUAUGUUGGGCUCUGUGGCUCACCAGAAAUGACAUAGUUUUUAACCAUAAAUGUGUUUCAUCUCGUAUGCAGGUUAUUCAUAUAUGUCGUAAUGGCUCCGUGCGUGGUCUAUGCUUCACAGACCGGAGGACAGAGACCUUUUUAUGA
rnacentral:rRNA from 1 species